rnacentral:rRNA from 1 species
AGACAGCUAGGAGGUUGGCUUAGAAGCAGCCACCCUUUAAAGAAAGCGUAAUAGCUCACUAGUCGAGUCGGCCUGCGCGGAAGAUGUAACGGGGCUAAGCAAUAUACCGAAGCUGCGGCAGCACGUAAGUGCUGGGUAGGGGAGCGUUGUGUAAGUGGAUGAAGGUGAAUCGAGAGGUUUGCUGGACAUAUCACAAGUGCGAAUGCUGACAUGAGUAACGAUAAUGGGGGUGAAAAACCCCCACGCCGGAAGACCAAGGUUUCCUGUCCCAUGCUAAUCAGGGCAGGGUAAGUCGGCCCCUAAGGCGAGGCAGAAAUGCGUAGUCGAUGGGAAACGGGUUAAUAUUCCCGUACUUUUAUAUACAGUGAUGGGGUGACGGAGAAGGCUAGGCUGGCGUGGCGUUGGUUGUCCACGUGAAAGUGCGUAGAUUGAGUGUUUUGGUAAAUCCGGACACUCUUAAGGUCGAGACACGAGACGAGCGACUACGGUCGUGAAGCAGUUGAUGCCCGGCUUCCAGGAAAAACUUCUAAGCUUCAGAUAAUGUGAGACCGUACCCCAAACCGACACAGGUGGUCAGGUAGAGAAUACCAAGGCGCUUGAGAGAACUCGGGUAAAGGAACUAGGCAAAAUGGUGCCGUAACUUCGGGAGAAGGCACGCCGGUGGUAUGUGACGCCCUUCGCGGGUU